UCCAAACAGGGGGAGUAUGGUAUUCGCGCAGUUUACUGCCGGAUCAAACGGGAAUGUGGAACGGGCUUCGGUCUUAGCCACAGCCGCCCCCGCGACUGUAAGUGGCGAGCGCGCGUUCAAAUCCACUGGAGGGCAACCUCUGGGAAGGGAAUGCACCGCGUCGACCCACAAGCCAGGAGACCGGCCAUGCGACUGAUAAAAAC
rnacentral:ncRNA from 2 species